AGCGGCUAAGCACUUGGCUGCUAACCAAAAGGCUGGCAGUUCAAAUCCGCCAGCUGCUC
rnacentral:tRNA from 1 species